AGCCUUGUGGUGUAUAUCACAUUGGAUUGCAAGUUCAAAGACGUAGAUUAAUAGUCUGCCUGGGCUU
rnacentral:tRNA from 1 species